UGUGCUUAGCACUAAGAUAAUUAGUGUCAAGUUAGCUCUUCUUUAAACUUGUUAUGCCAAUGCACCAUAUAGUCAGUUAUAACUAUGAAUUUUGGCGUAACGAGUGGUAAGUUGAACUAACGAUUAAUUAUUUUUGUGCUAAGCACGAAAUCAGUGGCGGACGGGUGAGUAUAAGCAAGGAACGUACCCUUUACUGUGGCAUAGCUCGUCGAAAGACGGGGUAACACCGCAUGACCUCGUAAGAGGAAAACGCUUAACCGCGUGGUAAUGGAGCGGCCUUGUACCUAUCAGCUAGUUGGCGGGGUAAAAGCCCACCAAGGCGACGACGGGUAGGGGGCGUGAGAGCGCGACCCCCCACAAUGGCACUGAGACACGGGCCAUACAUCUACGGAUGGCAGCAACUGGGAAUCGUUGGCAAUGGGCGAAAGCCUGACCACGCGACGCCGCGUGAGGGAUGAAGGCCUUCGGGUCGUAAACCUCUUUUGCCACCUCAUGAAGGGGUGGAGAAUAAGCAUCUACAAACUACGUGCCAGCAGUCGCGGUAAUACGUAGGAUGCAAGCGUUAUCCGGAUUCACUGGGCGUAAAGAGUCGUGUAGGUGGUUUAUCGCAUCGUACUUGAAAGCCCGAGGCUUAACCUCGGCGUUGGGUACGAGAUGGAUAGACUUGAGGGUGGCAGAGGAAAGGGGAACUGAUGGUGAAGCAGUGAAAUGCGUUGAUAUCAUCAGGAACACCAAAGGCGAAGGCACCUUUCUGGGCCUCUCCUGACACUGAGACACGAAAGCUAGGGGAGCGAAGCAGAUUAG
rnacentral:rRNA from 1 species